UACAGAGGGUGCAAGCGUUGUUCGGAAUCAUUGGGCGUAAAGGGUGCGUAGGCGGCGCGCUAAGUCAGGUGUGAAAUUUCGGAGCUUAACUCCGAAACUGCAUUCGAUACUGCGGUGCUUGAGGACUGGAGAGGAGACUGGAAUUCAUGGUGUAGCAGUGAAAUGCGUAGAGAUCAUGAGGAAGACCAGUGGCGAAGGCGGGUCUCUGGACAGUUCCUGACACUGAGACACGAAGGCCAGGGGAGCAAACGGG
rnacentral:rRNA from 1 species